ACAGAGGGUGCAAGCGUUAAUCGGAAUUACUGGGCGUAAAGCGUGCGCAGGCGGUUAUGCAAGACAGAUGUGAAAUCCCCGGGCUUAACCUGGGAACUGCAUUUGUGACUGCAUAGCUAGAGUACGGUAGAGGGGGAUGGAAUUCCGCGUGUAGCAGUGAAAUGCGUAGAUAUGCGGAGGAACACCGAUGGCGAAGGCAAUCCCCUGGACCUGUACUGACGCUCAUGCACGAAAGCGUGGGGAGCAAACAGGAUUAGAUACCCUGGUAGUCCACGCCCUAAACGAUGUCAACUGGUUGUUGGGAGGGUUCCUUCUCAGUAACGAAGCUAACGCGUGAAGUUGACCGCCUGGGGAGUACGGCCGCAAGGUUG
rnacentral:rRNA from 1 species